rnacentral:rRNA from 1 species
UACGUAGGGCGCAAGCGUUAUCCGGAAUUAUUGGGCGUAAAGAGCUCGUAGGCGGUUUGUCGCGUCUGCCGUGAAAGUCCGGGGCUCAACUCCGAGCUUGCAGUCGAUACGGGCAGGCUAGAGUUCGGCAGGGGAGACUGGAAUUCCUGGUGUAGCGGUGAAAUGCGCAGAUAUCAGGAGGAACACCGGUGGCGAAGGCGGGUCUCUGGGCCGAUACCGACGCUGAGGAGCGAAAGCGUGGGGAGCAAACAGG